AUGAACGCUGGCGGCGUGCCUAAUACAUGCAAGUCGAGCGAACGGACGAGAAGCUUGCUUCUCUGAUGUUAGCGGCGGACGGGUGAGUAACACGUGGAUAACCUACCUAUAAGACUGGGAUAACUUCGGGAAACCGGAGCUAAUACCGGAUAAUAUUUUGAACCGCAUGGUUCAAAAGUGAAAGACGGUCUUGCUGUCACUUAUAGAUGGAUCCGCGCUGCAUUAGCUAGUUGGUAAGGUAACGGCUUACCAAGGCAACGAUGCAUAGCCGACCUGAGAGGGUGAUCGGCCACACUGGAACUGAGACACGGUCCAGACUCCUACGGGAGGCAGCAGUAGGGAAUCUUCCGCAAUGGGCGAAAGCCUGACGGAGCAACGCCGCGUGAGUGAUGGAGGUCUUCGGAUCGUAAAACUCUGUUAUUUGGGAAGAACAUAUGUGUAAGUAACUGUGCACAUCUUGACGGUACCUAAUCAGAAAGCCACGGCUAACUACGUG
rnacentral:rRNA from 1 species